AUGUUCGUUCCCACUUCUUUCCACCCGCUUGAUGUCAAACGCGGGAGAGGAGGCAUGGCGCUGCAGCAUGAAGGAGGAGGCUGGAGCCUGGCACCGCUCGCCGGAGGCGGACGCCGCCCAUCGCCGGAGGAAGUCGCGUCCCCGUGGAACUCGCCACGACGGCGGAGCUACAAUGCAGCACAAGCGGCGCCCCGAUCCCGUGGAGCUUGCCAGCGGCGGUACUGCUUGGCUGCAAGGGAGCUCUCGCCGGCGGCUGCACUCGCGAUGGUUGUUGAAGCUGCAGUGCUUCAACGCAGCAUCUGUAGUGCUGCUCGCUGGCGACGAAGCUUCGAUGCAACAUCCAUGGCGCUGCUCGCCGGCGAAAGAGCUGCAACGCAACAUCCAUGGUGCUGCUCGCCGGCGGCAGACCUGCAACGCAACAGCCAUGGUGCUUCAUCGCAUCAUCCAUGGCGCUGCUCGCCGGCGACAGAGCUGCAACGCAUCAGCGAUGGUGCUUCAACACAGCAUCCAUGGCGCUGCUCGCCGGCGACGAAGCUUCAACGCAGCAUCCAUGGUGCUCGGCCGAAGUUGCAAUCGAGCUUCGAUAGAGCACCGGUGCUGCGUUGGAGCUCGGUCGGAGUUGCAAGCAACGAAGCUUCGCCGGAACCGUUGGAGCUUUAUUGGGGCUGCAAUGGAGCUAGGCCGGAGUUGCAAUGGAGUUCGCCGGAGCGUCAUUGCUGCGCUGGAGCUUCAUCCGGUUGCAAUGGAGCUCACCGGAGGCCGUUAGUGCUGAGUUGGAGCUUCCCGCUGGGGCUGCAAUGGCGCUGCGUUGAAGCUGUCACUCUUGCUGCUGCCUGUUGUAAUCCAACGCUUCCCAGCAUACUGAUCCGACGGCUGAACAGGCGGAUGAUUUCUCUAAGAAAUCAUCCGGCUGAUUUGUAG
rnacentral:rRNA from 1 species